CCCUACUUGGUCUAGAGGCUAGGAUUCCUGGCUUUCACCCAGACUGUCCAAGUUCAAUUCCUGAGCAGGGA
rnacentral:tRNA from 1 species